AGUGGUCUGACCAUUUUUCCUUUGAAUUUUGAUACCAUUCUACCUGUCAAUAUCUUGGAGUCCUAAACAAUAAUGAAUAUAAGUGAAAUUGCUGCAUUCCGCAUCAAGAUAUUUGAUAUUGUUUCAUAUUUUUUUCAGUUUGCCAUUUAAAAUAUUAAAACAUCAAGCCUUUCUUCUGAUGCAUUGGUUUCAGGUGUAAGUGGACCACAUCAAGGAAUAGGAAUAGAAAAGUAAAAAAGCCUGUGUACUCACGUACUCCCAUCACAUGGUGGAGGAUACUGAGGUCACUUCAAGACAUUCCAGUAGGUUGAGAGGCCAAAGAAAAGCCACAGAGACCUUUCUAGACUGACUGCUGGCUACAAUACAACGCGCAUGGUCAGAAACUGAUGCAAGCAGACUUUCUCAUCCAAAAGAAAUUUUGUUCUCAGAGGGAAACAUUUCACUUUUGCCUUGAAUCCAUAUUCAUAAUUAGCUAAUGCAAAAAUGUCAAAUGCUAGAUCUCACAGCUUUCCUGAGGUACCACAGUAAUUUCUUAAGGGAAUGGUUCACUGACAUGCAACUGCCUCAAGGCAUGGAGAUUAAGUUGAUUAUUAUGUUGUGCCCAGGUUUAAGAUGCUAGAAGUACUUUGUGAAUCAGUUGGUUGGAGACCUAGGAUAAUAACAUGUUCCCAUAAUACAAAUGCCAUCAUGUAAACAUCUUAAAACAAGUCUGAAUAAAAAAGUGCUGGUGUUCAAA